CACUGCAGCUCCCAGGGAAACAGCACAGGUCUCGUGCGGUCCAGGCUGCUCACCCAUGCCUGCUCAAGACCAAACCGCCCGGGCUGAGGACCCUGAUGAAGCUGUGACCAUACUAGCUGCUUCCCCUGUCUCCUGCUGAAGGCCUCUGGCCCCCCAUUCGGCUGCAUGUAAAAGCAUCUCUCAGCCAAGAAAGGAAGAGACAGUGUCCUCCUGCUGCUCUUCGUUUGUGGUGUAUCUAUCUGCGGGACAUACAGAACUUGGUCUAGACAGGCUGGCUAAUUUAAAAGCCUUGGAAAUAGGAUCCUAUAAGGAGUUGUACAGGAGAAAGCGCUAGCGCUGCUGUGAGUCUUAUUCCACUGUGGUCAAGUUAUUUCUAGUGCAUAGUGUGAAAGACAAAUCAGGAAGUUUUAGAUACCAUCUUUUGAAGAGCAUGAAACUGGAUUCAGUACAGCUGCCUGUAGAAAGCUUUGUCUUCCAAUAACAAAGUGUUGGAGUGACUUCAAGAGCUGAUAUAUCUAGAGCUGGCCAGCCUGUGCCUUGGAGAUGUGUGCAGCUGUUGAGUGUUUCAGGGGUGCCUCUCACGUUGGGACAUCAUAUACAAAGGUCUCUGUGCUCACCAGGGCUGCUAGGUAGUCUGGUCUCGCUGUGGGUGGAAGUGAGAUAGAUUGCUACACCAGCAUUUCUGAGAUGCCCAAACCAUCUUGCUGUGGAGACAUAGGGUCCGGUCAGCCUCUCCUGCCUGGACUUCCCCCACCUCUCAGCUCACUGAGAAGUACCAAUUUAACUGAUGCAUGGAUUUGCAACCAGCAGUUCAGCAGCUGCUUCAUGAGCCAUCCUUGCAGGAGGGGAACCUCAGAGAGACUUUCUGCUUGAAUGCAGCUGAUUUCAAGUUGAUAUGAAUGAACUUAGAAAGUCCAUUUUGGAGAUUUUUUCCUGGGACCUUGUGGAAUAAAACUGCCCCUCUCCUCAAAUGAAAACCUAACUUCACUGCCUGAGAUUCCUUUAACUAGAAAGAUAUGACAAGUGGUGGUAUCGGACUGCAGUGAAGUCCCACCUGUGCUAUUCUACCCUUAAUGAGUGAGCCGUGCUGACGCUGUGCAGUUGUCAUCCAUGUGCCCUU